AUUGAACGCUGGCGGCAGGCCUAACACAUGCAAGUCGAACGCUUGGCGGACGGGUGAGUAUUGUCUGGGAAAUUGCCUGAUGGAGGGGGAUAAUUAUUCGAAACGUUAGCCAAUACCGCAUACCAUCAGUCGUGCUCAGAUGGGAUUAGCAUGUUGGUGGGGUAACGGCUCACCAAGGCGACGAUCCCUAGCUGGUCUGAGAGGAGGACCAGCCACACUGGAACUAGGACGCGGUCCAGACUCCUACGGGAGGCAGCAGUGGAGAAUAUUGGACAAUAGGAGCAAGCCUGAUGCAGCCAUGCCGCAUGUAUAAAGAGAGCCUUCAGGUUGUAAAGUACUUUCAGCGGGAAAGCGUUGCACGCAGAAGAAGCACCAGCUAACUCCAUGCCAGCAGCCGCAGUGAUUC
rnacentral:rRNA from 1 species